rnacentral:rRNA from 1 species
UACGUAGGUGGCAAGCGUUGUUCGGAAUUACUGGGCGUAAAGCGCGUGUAGGCGGCUCUUCAAGUCAGGCGUGAAAGCCCCGAGCUUAACUCGGGAACUGCGCUUGAUACUGUCGAGCUAGAGUGUGGAAGGGGCGAUUGGAAUUCCGUGUGUAGCGGUGAAAUGCGUAGAUAUCAAGAGGAACACCUGCGGCGAAGGCGGGUUGCUGGGCCGACACUGACGCUGAUGCGCGAAAGCUA